GAUGAAGAACGUAGCGAAAUGCGAUAAGUAAUGUGAAUUGCAGAAUUCAGUGAAUCAUCGAAUCUUUGAACGCAUCUUGCGCUCCUUGGUAUUCUGAGGAGCAUGCCUGUUUGAGUGUCAUUAAAUUCUCAACUACACUGACUUUGAAUUGGUGUGGCUUGGAUUUGGGGGGAAAAUUGUUGUGGGCUUUUUGUAUAGUCUGCUCCCCUGAAAUUGAUUAGCGGUACCUUUGUGGAACUGUCUACAGGUGUGAUAAUUAUCUACAUCUUAGACAUCUGCUGGAAUGCUGCUUUCUAAACCUUACUUGUAUUGACAAUCUUGACCUCAAAUCAGGUAGGACUACCCCCUGAACUUAAGCAUAUCAAUAAGCGGAGGA
rnacentral:misc_RNA from 1 species